rnacentral:pre_miRNA from 1 species
GUAAUACUCCCUCUGCCCGAAAAAGCUUGUCCCUCAAAUGGAUGUAUCUAGCACUAACUUGAUGCUAGAUACAUCCAUUUGAGGGACAAGCUUUUUCGGACGGAGGGAGUAUUAA